UGUAGGAGUUGAUGCUGAAAAGGGACAUAAAGACACCCUUACAAUCAAGUUCCUGAGACCAAUGUAGAUUGUUGAUUGGUAGAGAUUUCAAACUUACCAUUGACACCCAUCAAGAAAGCGACAGAGCGAGGUGAAUCAGCUAUAGAGUACGGUAGCCGGUCGUUAAGAAAGCUUGGAUCAUCCUACUUAGGCGGGGAUGAUGAAUCUGAUCUCGGCAGCAUGCAAGAUGAGUUUAAGUUCGGGCUGGAUGAUGAGGAUGGUAUUGUGCCAAAAAGCUUUCCCGUUUGUGAUGAUCGAUUCUCUGAAAAGAUACCCUGCCUUGACUGACACCUUAUCUACCAGAUGAGAUUGAAGUUGGGUUUGUCUUUGAUGGAGCACUAUGAAAGACAUUGCCCUCUGCCCAAAGGGCAUUUUAACUACUUGAUUCCUCCCCCAAAUGGGUACAAGGUGCGGUUCUAAUCAACUAGAAGUGAAAAAAGGACAGGUUGGGUACUGGGUUAUUCAUGUGGCUCAUGGUACCUUGUCAAAUGGGUCGGGUUGACAAGAAACAUUUUAUUGUCCACGUUCACAAAAAAUAACAUAUUAUUUUUGUAGUAUUCUAAGUUUUUAAACGAGUAAAAUACACGGAUGGUCCAUAUGGUUUACCUAAAUUUUAUUUUUGU
rnacentral:lncRNA from 1 species